rnacentral:lncRNA from 1 species
UUGGGUUAGGUCAAUUUCUACAAUCUUGUUGGUAGGAUUACAAAUAGGUUGGGUCAAGUAAAGAUAUACUUGAUCUUGAUUCCACUUAAUUUCAUUUCUGGAUCUUGAUUUUGGACAUAGACCCCCUGAUCGAUAACCAGGUUGGGUGCGAUCAAACUCAUGAACAAGACCUUAGAUCUACUUUUAGAUCCCAAAUGGGUCUAUGAAAUCGAGUUAAGGCCAAGCAUGAUCCAAACCCAAUCCAAAAAAAAUGAGUUUGGGUUAGGAGCAGGCUAGGUCACGUAUGUAAUCCUAAUCAAGCAUUUGUCUCUCAUUUCUCACAACUAAAGUAUAAUAAUUGAUAAUCAAAUAUGAAAUUUCUAAAAAUCUUAAUGAAACUAAACAAAUGUCAGAUUAAACAUGAAUUUUCAUUCAAAUAUGUUCUUAAUUUGAUGAAAUAAAACUAUUAUUCC